UACGAAGGGGGCUAGCGUUGCUCGGAAUCACUGGGCGUAAAGCGCACGUAGGCGGAUUGCUAAGUCAGGGGUGAAAUCCUGGAGCUCAACUCCAGAACUGCCUUUGAUACUGGCGACCUUGAGUCCGGGAGAGGUGAGUGGAACUGCGAGUGUAGAGGUGAAAUUCGUAGAUAUUCGCAAGAACACCAGUGGCGAAGGCGGCUC
rnacentral:rRNA from 1 species